GGCCGUAAUCAACAUCCCACACAGGGCAGCUUCACUCGGCAGUCAUUAGUUCCUGUGCUUACAAGGUGACUCCAGAGGGCCGAUUACCGGGGAGAGGAGACGGUUUAGGGAGGUGGAACCAUCAAAAACAUGAAUAAAAUGUCUGACAGGUUAUCCUUCUAACCAAAAGCAGCUAGGAAUGUGCUUGCCAUCUGGUUAAGAAGAAUCUCAAAAAAUACUGGUAGGAGGAGUUGCUAAAAGUGCUUCUAUGAAUAGUGUGAUGGCUGCACGUUGGAGAUGACACCAGUGCUUGCCUGCCUGUCUGGGAAGGGUGUGGUGAGGAUGAAAUAACACACCUGACGCACGUGGGGCAGAGCUCGACCCACCGCACGUGCCAUAUGCAGAGCUCGUUCUUGUCA